GAUGAAGAACGCAGCGAAAUGCGAUAAGUAAUGUGAAUUGCAGAAUUCAGUGAAUCAUCGAAUCUUUGAACGCACAUUGCGCCCGCCAGUAUUCUGGCGGGCAUGCCUGUUCGAGCGUCAUUACAACCCUCAGGCCCCCGGGCCUGGCGUUGGGGAUCGGCGGAGCCCCCCGUGGGCACACGCCGUCCCCCAAAUGCGGUGGCGGUCCCGCCGCAGCUUCCAUCGCGUAGUAGCUAACACCUCGCGACUGGAGAGCGGCGCGGCCACGCCGUAAAACACCCAACUCUUCUGAAGUUGACCUCGAAUCAGGUAGGAAUACCCGCUGAACUUAAGCAUAUCAAUAAGCGGAGGA
rnacentral:misc_RNA from 1 species